rnacentral:rRNA from 1 species
AGCAUAUCAAUAAGCGGAGGAAAAGAAACCAACUGGGAUUGCCCUAGUAACGGCGAGUGAAGCGGCAACAGCUCAAAUUUGAAAUCUGACUCCUUUUUGGGGGUCCGAGUUGUAAUUUGCAGAGGGUGCUUUGGCUUUGGUGGCGGUCUAAGUUCCUUGGAACAGGACAUCGCAGAGGGUGAGAAUCCCGUAUGUGGUCGCCUUCCAUCGCCGUGUAAAGCCCCUUCGACGAGUCGAGUUGUUUGGGAAUGCAGCUCUAAAUGGGAGGUAAAUUUCUUCUAAAGCUAAAUACCGGCCAGAGACCGAUAGCGCACAAGUAGAGUGAUCGAAAGAUGAAAAGCACUUUGGAAAGAGAGUCAAAUAGCACGUGAAAUUGUUGAAAGGGAAGCGCUUGCAGCCAGACUUGCCCGUUGUCGCUCAUCCAAGCUCUUGCUUGGAGCAUUCGACUGCGGGCAGGCCAGCAUCAGUUUGGACGGCCGGAUAAAGACCUCUGUCACGUAUCUUCCUUCGGGAUGACCUUAUAGGNNNNNNNNNNNNNNGCCAGUCCGGACUGAGGUCCGCGCAUCUGCUAGGAUGCUGGCGUAAUGGCUGUAAGCGGCCCGU